rnacentral:rRNA from 1 species
GACGAACGCUGGCGGCGUGCUUAACACAUGCAAGUCGAACGGAAAGGCCCUGCUUUUGUGGGGUGCUCGAGUGGCGAACGGGUGAGUAACACGUGAGUAACCUGCCCUUGACUUUGGGAUAACUUCAGGAAACUGGGGCUAAUACCGGAUAGGAGCUCCUGCUGCAUGGUGGGGGUUGGAAAGUUUCGGCGGUUGGGGAUGGACUCGCGGCUUAUCAGCUUGUUGGUGGGGUAGUGGCUUACCAAGGCUUUGACGGGUAGCCGGCCUGAGAGGGUGACCGGCCACAUUGGGACUGAGAUACGGCCCAGACUCCUACGGGAGGCAGCAGUGGAGAAUAUUGCACAAUGGGCGGAAGCCUGAUGCAGCAACGCCGCGUGCGGGAUGACGGCCUUCGGGUUGUAUACCGCUUUCGCCUGUGACGAAGCGUGAGUGACGGUAAUGGGUAAAGAAGCACCGGCUAACUACGUG